rnacentral:rRNA from 1 species
CGACGCCGCGUGCGGGAUGAAGGCCUUCGGGUUGUAAACCGCUGUCAGUGGGGUGGAAAUCGGUUGGGGCUAUCCCCUUCUGUUGACCUAACCGCAGAGGAAGUCCGGGCUAAGUACGUGCCAGCAGCCGCGGUAAUACGUACCGGACGAACGUUAUUCGGAUUUACUGGGCUUAAAGAGUGCGUAGGCGGCUUUGCAGGUGGGGUGUGAAAGCCCACGGCUCAACCGUGGAAUUGCGCUCCAAACCGCAAGGCUUGAGGGAGACAGAGGUGAGCGGAACUGAUGGUGGAGCGGUGAAAUGCGUUGAUAUCAUCAGGAACACCCGUGGCGAAGGCGGCUCACUGGGUCUCUUCUGACGCUGAGGCACGAAAGCUAGGGGAGCGAACGGGAUUAGAUACCCCGGUAGUCCUAGCUGUAAACGAUGAGCACUAGAUCGUGGGGACUUCCACAUCCUCUCGGUCGUAGCGUAAGUGUUAAGUGCUCCGCCUGGGGAGUAUGGUCGCAAGGCUG